UGCUUACAAGGCAAAUGUAGUUGUGGUCACUCGGGAUGCCACAGUCACGUGGGACUCCACGCUCCCUCCUCUGUGAGCAACACAUUAUAUUUUCAGUGGCAGUCAUUUCCUCUAAUGGCCUUGCCAUACCUGAAUAAUCAAAUAGUAAAAUCUAGUAAAAUUCCAGUGUGCAAAAACAGAACCCAAGCCCUGGUGACCAGCUUUAUUAUGGUGGGAUGUUGAGUGAACGCAGCCUCUGCUGCCGAUCUCUUCUUCCGGUGGUGUGGAAGGCGCAGGACACUACAUCCAGGAAUCUGCGGAGACGGAGCUACGUGGGACUAGACACACUGAGAAAAAAAAAAUUAUUUAAAAAGAUGGGCUCGUCCGGGAUUUGAACCCGGGACCUCUCGCACCCAAAGCGAGAAUCAUACCCCUAGACCAACGAGCCACUGUGCCGAAGCUGCUUACUGCUGAUCUUUGGAUAUCUCUAGAUGAAUGACACGUUCCCUUAGUCCUGCCCCUGCUGAGGACGACUCCACGAAUUCAUUUUCCUGUGAGUUUCAGGAAGCCAAGGGAGGAGGCUCGUCUCCGUGGAGACCCGCCCGAAGGGAAAGUUCCGAAACGCUCAAGACAGGGCAGACCGGUCCCCUACGGCCCAGCAUUCGAUAUGAAUGACCAAGGACCAUCGUCCUUCGGGAAAGGGAAGCCUGCGAGCUUGUAUGAACAACGCAGUCUCAUGGUGGACUCCGGCUCAGAAAUUUUGCCCACUAGAACCCAAGUCUAGGACGUCAAGAAUGAGAGCCUUCCGAUCCGCCAGUCCCGCAACCUCAGUCUUCCGGGGAGAGCCACAGAACCCGCAGAUCCUGUACCGUGGCCAAAACCACUCGGGCCUGGACUCUGCCAGCUCAGCCCGCGCAGCUCAGAGACCUAGACGCAGAAGCCACAACUCCGGGUUGGUUCUCCGAAGCCCGCGGCUUAGCGUUCGGCCAGAGAUCCAGUGUCCUGCGGCGACUUUGAAAACGUAUGGUCGGAAGAACCUUCCAGACCCUGUCUAAAGGACUGGAUCUCUUUUCUAGAGAUCAGGGUCAAACUCCAAAGACCUCCACACAACCGUCAUGUAGCUCGUGCUAAGACAAACAAACCAGACAAACGAAGAAAAUAUAAUUUCAUCCUACAAGUUGCAGAAUCAGCCUCGGGGAGGCCUUCCUGUGAAAGACAGCAUUAAUUAGGAAGGGUCCCUGACACAUAAUGCAUCAGAAACUUCCAAAUUUACGAUAUAUCGAAGCUUGUAUUUUGGGAAUUUUUUUUACCCGAAGAUGAAGUCAUGCAUUCUAUGUAUUUGAAAUUCAUAUAGUAUUUUUAUCAGUAUUAAUACAGUAUUAUUAUCUAUUUCAAAUAUGUAUCCAAGCUAAAAAAAAAAAAAAUAGUAUUCAGUGCCUUUGAGUCGGCCACUGAGCUAUGCUCUCGAGCUCCAAAGUACAAUUUAAAUAUUAACCAAUUGCCUUGGACGUUAGUCUCUAAAUAAUUGGGUUUAUAAAAAAUUAGGACUUUUUGAGAAUACAUAUAACUUAACCCGGAAUCAAUGUGUACAACUGUGAUCCUGGUGUUCAGGAAGAAGAUGCCGAAGGAUUUUGCGUUCGAGCCCAGUCUGGUCUACCUAACGAGACCCCGAUAUUUUUUUUAAAGGAACUUCAAUAAAAUUGUACAUCUACAACCUGAACAAUUACUAUGUAUCAACUAAUAAUUGGUGGUUCAUAAAAAAAAAAUAGUUCGAAUAAAAUUCAUAUGGUAUUUUUUACAGCGAAAACGUGUUUAUUUGAAAAUAAAACAUUGCCUUGAAAUGGUAUGUUGAAAUUUAUUUGAAAACAAAUUGAGAGCAAAAUAUG
ensembl:lncRNA